GACGUAGGGCGCGAGCGUUGUCCGGAUUUAUUGGGCGUAAAGAGCUCGUAGGCGGUUCGGUAAGUCGGGUGUGAAAACUUUGGGCUCAACCCAAAGCCUGCACCCGAUACUGCUGUGACUUGAGUCCGGUAGGGGAGUGGGGAAUUCCUGGUGUAGCGGUGGAAUGCGCAGAUAUCAGGAGGAACACCGGUGGCGAAGGCGCCACUCUGGGCCGGUACUGACGCUGAGGAGCGAAAGCGUGGGGAGCGAACAGG
rnacentral:rRNA from 1 species